rnacentral:rRNA from 1 species
ACGAAAGUCUGACGGAGCAACGCCGCGUGAGUGAUGAAGGCUUUCGGGUCGUAAAACUCUGUUGUUAGGGAAGAACAAGUGCUAGUUGAAUAAGCUGGCACCUUGACGGUACCUAACCAGAAAGCCACGGCUAACUACGUGCCAGCAGCCGCGGUAAUACGUAGGUGGCAAGCGUUAUCCGGAAUUAUUGGGCGUAAAGCGCGCGCAGGUGGUUUCUUAAGUCUGAUGUGAAAGCCCACGGCUCAACCGUGGAGGGUCAUUGGAAACUGGGAGACUUGAGUGCAGAAGAGGAAAGUGGAAUUCCAUGUGUAGCGGUGAAAUGCGUAGAGAUAUGGAGGAACACCAGUGGCGAAGGCGACUUUCUGGUCUGUAACUGACACUGAGGCGCGAAAGCGUGGGGAGCAAACAGGAUUAGAUACCCUGGUAGUCCACGCCGUAAACGAUGAGUGCUAAGUGUUAGAGGGUUUCCGCCCUUUAGUGCUGAAGUUAACGCAUUAAGCACUCCGCCUGGGGAGUAC